ACAGACAGCCAUGGCAACUUUGAGACACAGGAGACUCCAGAACAGGUGACCCCAGUAAGCAAGGGCAGGAGACUUCUUUCUCUUCUAUAUGCCAUACAAAACGAAAAGAACUGUGUGUAUGCGAAAGCCAAUGUCUUCUAGGGAUUCUCAGCAAAUAUCAGGCUGGGACAUUGGUCUUCUGCUUUACGACUGGCUUGGACUAGAGCUUAACACCAUUGGUUCUCCUGGUUCUCAGGCCUUUGAACUCAUACUGGCACUAUAUUAUUGGCUUUUCUGGAUCUCCAUCUUGCCUACCACAAAUCUUGGAAUUUCCUAGCCAUCUUAACCAUAUGAACUUUGGAAUGGAAGACAUAUUAGUACUUUGUUUUUGCAAGCUAUCAUGCAAGGAAAAGAUAAACAACUAGCAGGAGUCAUGUAAAUACAGCUGGACUUUCCAGUGAUGUCAUCGUGUUUCAUUGUUUAUCACUCCUUGUUUGCACUAUUCCCCAAUAAAUACAUCCAGGUUCCAUUACCAUGUCCACUCUGCCAAAAAGAAAACUGCAGAUGAAGAGCAGAAGGUCAAUAACUUGCCCAAGGUCAAAUAGCUAUAAGCAGUGGAUAUAGGGCCCAACUCUAUGGCUACAGCAUUAUCCAUUAUAUUGCCCUGUAAAGUCAAAAUGGAUUCCAAAGCAGAUGCAUUUCCAUUUUCAUAAAUCAUGGGCAGAUGAAAAAUGUCACUAAAUAGAGUCAGCAAUAAGAACUUUAUUCCCUUCCUUCCCUUACAGUUCCCAUGGUGAAGACUGCAUUUUCACGGAGAGAAUGAGGCCUGAGUCCAGCUAUGGGAGGUGGAGGCUGCCUGUCUAGGGGCCAGGUCCUUGCCCUAGAGAGUUGAGACUACAUGGAGGCCACAGGCCAGAAGACAAGGCCAGCAGAAGCUGAGAGACGGCCGAGGAGGGCAGGACAAGCCAGAAAAGGGCUGCUCCUACUCUCUCCUGCUGUGGCGUUCAGCCUGUGGGCUCUACUUCAACUAAGUGGCCAUGUUGGUGGGGGCGGGCCUCUGUGGAGAGCCAAAUAGUGGGGGCAAUACACCAGUGAGGGAAACUCAGUGGGAAGGCAUUGGAUGGGGCUCUUCUCGGCCUGCAAGGAGCAAACUCCUCCUCCCUCAGCAAGUGUUCACAGAGUCCUUAGCAUUGAUGGAACUUCCAACAUUAGACAGAACUCCCUCUGGGAAGCAGCCCCUGGGUUAGAUGCCCUUCUUCUGUGUCCUCAUAGCAUCCUGUGCUUAGUCCUAGCACCACAUCCUGAGUUGCAAUUAUCUGGCCGUGAGCCUCUUGAGACAGGGGCUGAAUUUUAUCCACUCUGUGUCCCUAAGGCCUGGCACAGUGCUUGCUAUAGACAUUCAACAAAUACUUUCCUUCAGUUGAAGGAUACAUAAUUUUGAGCAAUUUAGAUGUUAAAAAAAUGUAAGCGAUGAUCAUGGCAAUAAACUUCAGUAUCUCCGUUGAGAAAUUCCAAGGGCUAAAAGCUACCAUGAAGGAUGUUAAGAAAAAUUAUAUUUGAUUAUCUCCAAAGAGCAUUAACUUAGAUGGGAAACUACUAUUUCAGUGAUGUUUGAGCAUGGUUUAUAGACAAUGCUUGGUGCCCAAAUGGAUCAUCAUUACCUCAGGUAGCCCUGGCUUCAGCAGCUGCCUGGCCUGGGAGGACCCACAGUGUGACAGUGUGACCGGUGAUGGCAGCUGCUGAGUCUUACUGUUUUCCUUGUCAUCCUCCUAGUACUAGAGAGCAGGGACGUGGCUACAAAUAUUUGGCUUUGCUUCCACAAGGUGGCAUCUGUUUAAGAGU